UGAUAACAUUUAACCCCUUGGUGCCGGGUGACGCCGAUCGGCGAGCAAACAAACCGCUCGAGAGCUGGCGUGCGGCUGUAUGCCGCGGCGGCGUGCCAAAGCGAUGCGAGCCAGUGAUUCGGGCUGAUGUCCCCUACUCACGUGCUCAAAGUUGGCGCGUCGCCUUUUUUUGCUAGAGCAUAGUUUUUUUUUGUUUUGUACUCCCGGCAUCAUUGGGUUAAUGAAUGACUAGCCAUAAUUCACAAUGGAUAAAUAGCUCUGUGUUAUUCUGUUUCCUUAUCAUCUUGAUGCAUUUUUAUUGUGAUUUUGCAUUUGUUACGUUUAAGUUCAUAUAUAUAUGACAAAAUUGCCAUAUACUGUUCAGCCACAAUAGUUUGGACUUGAAAAUAAAGUAUAGGCACAGGGAAGGUCAGGAAGGGGUUUGUCGUCUAAUUUGAAUACUGUACUGUAUUUAGUGAUAAUAUAAAAUGAAUUCUCAUUUCCAUUUAUGAUUUCUUACUUUAGAAAAGUUUGUAAAUGUUCACUGUACUAUGCUAACUGAUAAAGUGAUGUUUUACAUUUCCUUUUUUUUUUUAAAUUUCCAGUCAAGGUGAACGAGAAUGCUACCUUCGUAGAAGAUGGCAUGGAUGACGAUAUUGAGUUCGACGAUUACUCAGAAGAGGAAGAGGAUGCAGCAGCUGACAUAGAUGCACUAUGAGAAUGCUGGCCGAAUACCUCUAUUACAAGGAUAGCAGAUGCUAGCAUAAAGUAGAAAUAACUAUUAGCUUUUUUUUUUCCUUUUUUUAUGCCCAUCAUAUACACAGUUGUUGGUGUCCCAACAUGGGAUGUUCUUUAUUGCUGUAGAAUCAGAUUGAUAUUGUGUUUACAUACAGCAAACUGAGGUUCAGAGUAUUUUGAUAUCUAGUUGAUAAUCAGGAAUCAAUUUAGAAAUUAUUAUUUAGGUAAUGUUAAUCCAAGAGAUUCAUAUAAAGUGAUACCAAGAAACAAACAGGAAUACACUUGCUUUUUGUAGUGAUUGCUUUCACUGCAUAUCAGUUUUUAUUUGAAUGUUUGUUUUGAAAAAAAGAGAAGGAAAUUAGAAAUUUGUUUUGCAAGAUGCUGUUUUCUUUGGCCCUUUUUCGUUUCCAUAUCUGCAUCCCUCCUGUAACCUUUUUUCUACUUUAUCAUAGGGAAAUUAAUCUUUUUAAAUUGAUAUUUUAUAUAAAGUGUAAUCUCAAUUUUUGUUGUUUCUGUAUCCUGUAUUAAUAAUAGUCAGUUUUUUUCUUUUAUUUAUGGACUCUUCAGAAAUGCAUGAUGUUUACCCUAAAUGGAGUUUGUUAGGAUUUCCUUUGAGAUCUAUAUUGAGUGUAUCACGUGUAUACCUUUGAGAUUAGCUUCGUAAGUUCUCUGGUAUUUUCAGUGACAUUAACUAGUUAAGGUUACUGGGAGUGCAAAUAAAUAAAACCCUAGGAUUUUUUUUUUUUUAAUGAAAAGUAAAGUUUAGUAUAUCUUUAUGCAUAAGGUGUAAGUGCUAAACCUUUUUCUGGUCUUACUGUUUUUUGGAAUGUAAACAACUUAAGCUUCUGGAGUGAUUGUCUCUAGAAAAAGAAAUAUUAGAACUUGUUGCUUCUCAUUUUCCACUGUAAAGUGGUUCUAACAUUGCUGAUGGGCAAGACUUUAUGAAUUUUAUAAACAAGCAAGUGUUGAAGAACUGUCUGGAUGUUUUUAUCUAAGGGAAACUGCCUUUAGUGCUCCUGUAUGCUUUAUUUUUGUCUAAUCAUCUCCAUAGCUUGAAAUGUGUAUAUAUAUUGAUGUUUGUAGUAUUAGGUUGGAAUAUUAUUUCUGAUAAAUCAGUUUUGUUUAAUUUCAUUGCAGAGAAAAAUUAAAGCAAAACGUGAGGGGAGUUAUAGUAAUAGAAUACUUUUUGACAGGAAAGAUUUUAAGCCAAUACCAAUUUUUUAUUUGAGUUUGUCCAUUUUGUUGUGGUAAUAGAAGUGAUGCCAUCUUUAGAAAGGAAAAUUUCAGACAUGUUUAUCACCACAUGUAAAGCAAAUUUUUUUUUUUAUUAAUUUAUUUAUUUAGUAAUACUGUAUUAAUUGCAGGCAUUACUUGUAUAACAGUCUUUGUGUAUUUAUAAUGCAAUAUGGAAUAUUAAAGUGAAACUUGAUA